GCCCGCUCAGAAACUUAAAGGAAUUGACGGGCCGCACAAGCGGUGGAGCAUGUGGUUAAUUUCGAUGAUACGCGAGGAACCUUACCUGGGCUCGAACGUAAGAUGACUGUAGGUGAAAGCUUACAUCUCUUCGGAGCAUUUUACGAGGUGCUGCAUGGUUGUCGUCAGCUCGUGCCGUGAGGUGUCGGGUUAGGUCCCAUAACGAGCGCAACCCCUACCUUUAGUUGCCAUCAGGUAAUGCUGGGGACUCUAAAGGAACUGCCUACGCAAGUAGUGAGGAAGGCGGGGAUGACGUCAAAUCAGCACGGCCCUUACGUCCAGGGCUACACACGUGCUACAAUGGCCGAUACAGAGGGCAGCUACCUGGUGACAGGAUGCAAAUCUCCAAAGUCGGUCUCAGUUCGGAUCGGAGUCUGCAACCCGACUCCGUGAAGUUGGAUUCGCUAGUAAUCGCGCAUCAGCCAUGGCGCGGUGAAUACGUUCCCGGGCCUU
rnacentral:rRNA from 1 species